CACAAACGACUCUCGGCAACGGAUAUCUCGGCUCAUGCAUCGAUGAAGAACGUAGCGAAAUGCGAUACUUGGUGUGAAUUGCAGAAUCCCGUGAACCAUCGAGUUUUUGAACGCAAGUUGCGCCCGAAGCCAUUCGGUCGAGGGCACGUCUGCCUGGGCGUCAC
rnacentral:rRNA from 1 species